rnacentral:rRNA from 1 species
CCUACGGGGGGCAGCAGUGGGGAAUAUUGGACAAUGGGGGCAACCCUGAUACAGCCAUGCCGCGUGUGUGAAGAAGGCCCUCGGGUUGUAAAGCACUUUCAGUGAGGAAGAACGCCUGGUGGUUAAUACCCAUCAGGAAAGACAUCACUCACAGAAGAAGCACCGGCUAACUCCGUGCCAGCAGCCGCGGUAAUACGGAGGGUGCGAGCGUUAAUCGGAAUUACUGGGCGUAAAGCGCGCGUAGGUGGCUUGAUAAGCCGGUUGUGAAAGCCCCGGGCUCAACCUGGGAACGGCAUCCGGAACUGUCAAGCUAGAGUGCAGGAGAGGAAGGUAGAAUUCCCGGUGUAGCGGUGAAAUGCGUAGAGAUCGGGAGGAAUACCAGUGGCGAAGGCGGCCUUCUGGACUGACACUGACACUGAGGUGCGAAAGCGUGGGUAGCAAACAGGAUUAGAUACCCUAGUAGUC